CCUACGGGGGGCUGCAGUGAGGAAUAUUGCGCAAUGGGGGAAACCCUGACGCAGCGACGCCGCGUGAGUGAUGAAGGCCUUCGGGUUGUAAAGCUCUGUCAGAGGGAAAGAAAGGGGUGUUGGCAUAAUACCCAACACCAUUGACGGUACCCUCGGAGGAAGCACCGGCUAACUCCGUGCCAGCAGCCGCGGUAAUACGGAGGGUGCAAGUGUUGUUCGGAAUCACUGGGCGUAUGGGGAACGUAGACGUGAAAUCCCGGAGCUUAACUUCGGAACUGCAUGUGAGACUGCGCGUCUUGAGUAUGGUAGAGGGGGAUGGAAUUCCCGGUGUAGAGGUGAAAUUCGUAGAUAUCGGGAGGAACACCAGAGGCGAAGGCGAUCCCCUGGGCCAUUACUGACGCUGAGGUGCGAAAGCGUGGGGAGCAAACAGGAUUAGAUACCCCAGUAGUC
rnacentral:rRNA from 1 species